rnacentral:rRNA from 1 species
AUGCUGGGUGGGUGGCUGACGUGCUUCAAGUCUCCUGCAGAGUCUGCUGCGCCUUCAAGCCCGCGCGACGUGGGUAUGGCUGGCGCUGCGGGGCUCGAGGCCGAGGUGACGGCGGGAUGGGAGACGGUGAGGUCGCGUCGGCCGCGCCGGCCGGCUUUGCAGCAGGAAGAAUUCAAGGCGCGCGCCCCUCCCUCGGACUGGCUUUUCAACCUCUGCUUCCAUUGCCUUCAUCCAAGGCAUAAGGCCGCUACUUGCCGCAAUCUAGUCACCUGCAGGCGCUGCUUCCGCUCCGGCCAUCGCGCGCGUGGCUGCACCAACCCGCUGGCUCCACAUCUACGUCCGCGGGCGCCUCCUCGCCGGCAGGCGCUGCCUGCACGCCAGUGCCUCGCGCCUCCCCUACCUCGGGCUCGCUCCCCACCUCCCGCCCCCGCAAGGGCCAUGGCUGCGCCUGUUGCUGCGGCCUGGGCGGGUGACCACACGGCCCGCCCUGCUGAGGUCUUCACGGUGGUGCACUCCACCCCCGCCAUGGUUCACGAGGCAGCUCUGCUCGAGUCAAACGCCGUGGUGGCGUGGCUGGAGCGCGAGAUGAGGGCCUCCUCUCAAGAGAUCGCUGCUGCGGUGGUGAGAGAGAUCGGCUGUCUACGCCCCGAUGUCAACGUCGCCCGCCACUUCCCGGAGGCCUUCCUCAUCAGGUUCUUCCACCGCCAUCAAUGCUCUGAGGUGAUCUCGCGCCCGGCGCUGCCGUUCCGGGGCACCCGCAUCCAGCUCCGGCCAUGGCGGAUCGAGUCCCACGCGGAGCACGUCGACAUGCCGCACCAUGUGCGCCUUUGCCUCGAGGGGCUACUGCUACAGGCAUGGGACGCCCAGGCUGUGGCCUCUGCGAUCGGCACCAACUGCUCAAUAGACUACAUCGAGCCGGCGUCUUGCCUGAAGACGGACACAGAGGCGCUUUGCCUGUGGGCGUGGGCGACGUGCCCCAGCAAGAUUCCGAGGGUCAACUGGAUCACCAUACCGGCGCGCGAAGGCGGGGAGCCGGUGUAUGGUCGGCGUGGUCUGCAGCACAGGGUCCUGCUUCACCUCUCCAUCCUUGAGCAGAAGGUGGGCGGGCGCACUGUUUUAGAGGGCUUCACCUGGCGUCGCAACAUCGUCGAUGGCGAGACGGUGCCCAGGGACCGUAGGGAGCGCAUCUCCCGCCCAGCGCCACGUCACGACAGGCGCGGCAGUGACGAUGACGAAGACCGUCGCCGUGGUGGAGAUCGGCGCGGCCGUGACGCCGCCGCCUGCAGGAGCAGCUUGGGCGCGCGCAUAAGGCGCAGCCUCUCCCGCAAUCACCGCGAAGAGCCGCGGAACCAAGACAGAGGCUGGGGCGACCGCGACAGGAGGGAGGACCGCGGCAACCCGUCGCCGUGA